ACGGAAGGCAGCAGUGGGGAAUAUUGGACAAUGGGGGAAACCCUGAUCCAGCGACGCCGCGUGAGUGAAGAAGUAUUUCGGUAUGUAAAGCUCUAUCAGCAAGGAAGAAAAUGACGGUACUUGACUAAGAAGCUCCGGCUAAAUACGUGCCAGCAGCCGCGGUAGUACGUAUGGAGCAAGCGUUAUCCGGAUUUACUGGGUGUAAAGGGAGCGUAGACGGCGAAGCAAGUCUGAAGUGAAAUGCCGGGGCUUAACCCCGGAACUGCUUUGGAAACUGUUUUGCUAGAGUGCAGGAGAGGUAAGCGGAAUUCCUAGUGUAGCGGUGAAAUGCGUAGAUAUUAGGAGGAACACCAGUGGCGAAGGCGGCUUACUGGACUGUAACUGACGUUGAGGCUCGAAAGCGUGGGGAGCAAACAGGAUUAGAUACCCUGGUA
rnacentral:rRNA from 1 species